rnacentral:rRNA from 1 species
UACGAAGGGGGCUAGCGUUGUUCGGAAUUACUGGGCGUAAAGCGCACGUAGGCGGAUAUUUAAGUCAGGGGUGAAAUCCCAGAGCUCAACUCUGGAACUGCCUUUGAUACUGGGUAUCUUGAGUAUGGAAGAGGUAAGUGGAAUUCCGAGUGUAGAGGUGAAAUUCGUAGAUAUUCGGAGGAACACCGGUGGCGAAGGCGGCUUACUGGUCCAUUACUGACGCUGAGGUGCGAAAGCGUGGGGAGCAAACAGG